ensembl:snoRNA SNORD11B small nucleolar RNA, C/D box 11B
GGUUAGCUGUGAUGAUGAUGACUUUUGUCUCACUCCUGAAACAAUCAUGUGGGUGUCUAAGUCACUACCUCAUCUGAGCCAACU